CUGUAGAUAUCUUCCUCCUCUCAGGUCUGUCCUUCGUCCAGGUUGGCUUCCUUCGUCUCUUCUCCUCGUUAGGCGCCUCUUCCUUAAGUGUCAGCGGCUUUGUGCCCAAGUAAGGAAGGAGGCCAGGAGCUCAGAGAAGCGGCUGUGACCCAUCCUAACUCAACACACUCUGAGGAGGGGACAGUCGGGGGAGCGGGGCAGAAGGGCUCUGUCCUCUAUAAAAGCCAAGGUCAGGGCCCCCACGCUCACAGGGAUAUGCAGAAGGGAGAACUGGGGUUCACCCCGGAGUGGGUAGAGAGGACCAUUUACCCCAACAAGUCUCAGCACCGGCUUCUUCCAGCGCCUUCUGUCUGGGCAGUCUGGCCCCGGAGCUCCGACAGGGCGCAAGCGCAGGGGGCGGGGCCUGUGGAAGAAGCUGCACGUGCAGGUCCGGACGCCCGAAUAAAGGCUGGGGCCUUGACCAUGGGCAGUCAGGUCUGACUAGCCCGGGUUGUGUGCUCCACGCCUUCAAAUUGCCUAGAGGCUUGCAGUCGCAGACGUCAAGCUAGAGCACGUUGGUGUCGCUAAUGGGAACAUAGCGUCGUACAGGGCACAGGGGCGCAGGGUUUGGAGGUCUUAGGGACAGACUGGCCUACAGAGAGGAGGGUGUUAGGAGACGCAGAGACGAGGCCAGGACUCCGGGAUUGGGGAGGGGUUCAGACUGUGGCGGAAGCUGAGGGGCGUGCUGGAGAGGCUGCGGACAAGGACAGCGCAGCUGGGCCUAAGCCCCCUCUUCCACUGCAGCCGCUGGGCGCGGCCCCUGGCUUUGGCACCGGACGCCAAGUGUCCCCACGCCUCCAAGGCCUCAUCUUCCCAAGAUGGGGCUGCUUGGGGAGCCAGAUUCGCUCAGCACGAUGUGGGCCCAGGCCUCUGUGCACUGCUUCCCUGGUCGUAACGUAUGCAGGGCAACGCAUCCAGGCCAGCGGGAAGACAAGGUUUCAGAAAUGGAAGUCUGUAUUUUCCGUGUUCUGUGGUGCUCACUUGCAGGAUCUCAGUCUGCCAGUCAGUGAUUUGAACCUGGGCCACGGUGGUGAAAGCACAGAGUCCUAACCACUGGACUGCUAGGGCAUUCCCCUUAUAUACCUUCUAAAUUUGGACAACAUAAGUAUAUUAUGAUGAUUUAAAAAUAAAUGCUGCUGCUGCUAAGUCGCUUCAGUCAUGUCCGACUGUGUGCGACCCCAUAGACGGCAGCCCACCAGGCUCCUCCGUCCCUGGGAUUCUCCAGGCAAGAACACUGGAGUGGGUUGCCAUUUCCUUCUCCAAAAAAAUAAAUGAGUAUUUUUAAAAUAAAUAGUGAGCAUUUAUUAUCCUCAGCAGCAGAGGGAAGUCAGGCCUGAGCUCUACACAAGUAGCUCCACCCUGGAGGUGGAACCUACGGCAGCACCGGGAGCAGCUCCUCAGAGACUCCCUUCAUCUGGCCGCCCUGCCCGAGGCAUUUCUAAGGAGUUGGGACUCACAGGGAUCAGCAGGGAGGAGCACAAGGGGAAAAGCUCUCCAGCCUGAAGUCAGGCGUGUCCAGAGCUAGCACCUGGCAACACACAGCUCGCAUCCUCCCUGGAAGGCAGGAAUAUUACUGAAGCAUAGACUCUGCAAGCAACUACAGUCCUGUGGAAGAUCACCGUCCUUGCAGCCAGAAGCCCUGGAGUCAAGGCACUGCUCUGCCGUUUACCCCAGACACUGACUCACAUGCAAGGGGGCUUCCUCAUCUAUUGCCUAUAGAUCAUGCCCUGACUUCAACAGCAUAGUGUGAGAAUGAAUUAAAAGGAGUGAACUCAUUUGUAAA